GAUGAACGCUAGCUACAGGCUUAACACAUGCAAGUCGAGGGGUAACAUGAAGAAAGCUUGCUUUCUUUGAUGACGACCGGCGCACGGGUGAGUAUCGCGUAUCCAACCUGCCCAUAAGUAGGGAAUAGCCUUGCGAAAGUAAGAUUAAUGCCCUAUGGUUUCCAUUAAAGACAUCUGAGAUGGAAUAAAGAUUUAUCGCUUAUGGAUGGGGAUGCGUCUGAUUAGGUAGUAGGCGGGGUAACGGCCCACCUGGCCUACGAUCGUUAGGGGUUCUGAGAGGAAGGUCCCCCACACUGGUACUGAGACACGGACCAGACUCC
rnacentral:rRNA from 1 species